UAUCGAUCAUAUGUCUCAAACUGUCAAAAAUUUUUAUUAUUUUCCGAAUAAUAUAUUAAUCCAGCCAAAAGUUAGCUGUAAAAGCGGAGGCAUAAAAUGUACUAAAUCUGUAUUAAGUUAUUAAAUAAAUAAUUGGCGAGAUAUUUCAGAGCGAAACGGAUUAGCAUCAUUAGUAUCUACCGAAUUCUUCUAAGAUGACUCGACAUUAUUUUCGAAGAUGAGAUCAAAAACGUGGAACGCUGACGUGGAAAGUCAAAAAUACAAGGAAAAAGGAACAAAAAGUCAUUUGCGGACGAUGCCUUAGUCGAAGAGCUCCUCCAUCAGAUACAUCAACAAAACAUACGUGCAUUCAGUGUCUUUUCCGACCUUACCCGAACGAUCGGAGCUAAUGUAUAAAUUUCGCUGGGACUUAUUUCCCGUGGAUUUCAAAACAGAAUCCGAGCUGAUUUGCAAGUC